GUUCCAAUAUUCACAUAGGGUGACACAUAUGGAAGGCCGUUUCCCUAGUAUAAUACUGUAUUAGAUGAAGAAGACAAACCAGCAAAUGAUCGCAUGGCUGAUGUCAGGCUUCCCCAUAAUUUUGUUUUUCCGCUGUGAGGUGAAAUGACGUUAAGCAUGAAUGAAGCACUCGACACACAGCUAGUUGCCCCACUCCGCACAGCAGUGGAAACGUCAUUUUCAUAUAUCAAAACGCUAGGAGAACGGAUUAAGUGCGACGUGUUUGCUUUUGAAAUGUAUUCAUAUGCAUAAAUGCCCUGGACUUUGCAAUCCCAGCAAAGGGCUGGAGCCGUCGGGUAACCUGCUAUUUACCACAAUAGGAUAUUGGAAAAGUGUGGCAUACAAGGGUCAGUGACAGUGACAUUUGAAUCUCGUGCUGGUAUAUCAAAUAUGGGGAAAGGAGUUUGAAUAUCGCCAUCCACUGAUAGAGGAAUGCACACCCAACUGUGAAAUUAAUCUAUAUUGUUUCCAUUACAAUGAGACACCUCUAUGAAAAAUGGCAUCUGGUAAUUUUAUCCUCACCAAGCAUGAGAUUCAUCUGGCAACAAAAGAACACUAAACAGAUGUUCAUCCUGUUCAUUUGACACAAUAGAAAUCAGCAGGAAAGAGAAGGCUGCUUCUUUAAGGUACAGUUUUUUCUAUAUGGGGGUGGGUAUGCAUUUAACAAUAAAGAUCCAAAACAUAAUUAUACACUAUACAACUUACAUCACUGGUGUAAAACUUCAAGGUUUCAAAAAGGGCAGCAGCCCAUAAGAGGAACCCACAUAAUUUAUCCUUCUGUAACUUAAGCCUUUGGGG